rnacentral:rRNA from 1 species
GAGGGGCAGCAUGGUCUUAGCUUGCUAAGGCCGAUGGCGACCGGCGCACGGGUGAGUAACACGUAUCCAACCUGCCGUCUACUCUUGGACAGCCUUCUGAAAGGAAGAUUAAUACAAGAUGGCAUCAUGAGUCCGCAUGUUCACAUGAUUAAAGGUAUUCCGGUAGACGAUGGGGAUGCGUUCCAUUAGAUAGUAGGCGGGGUAACGGCCCACCUAGUCUUCGAUGGAUAGGGGUUCUGAGAGGAAGGUCCCCCACAUUGGAACUGAGACACGGUCCAAACUCCUACGGGAGGCAGCAGUGAGGAAUAUUGGUCAAUGGGCGAGAGCCUGAACCAGCCAAGUAGCGUGAAGGAUGACUGCCCUAUGGGUUGUAAACUUCUUUUAUAAAGGAAUAAAGUCGGGUAUGGAUACCCGUUUGCAUGUACUUUAUGAAUAAGGAUCGGCUAACUCCGUGCCAGCAGCCGCGGUAAUACGGAGGAUCCGAGCGUUAUCCGGAUUUAUUGGGUUUAAAGGGAGCGUAGAUGGAUGUUUAAGUCAGUUGUGAAAGUUUGCGGCUCAACCGUAAAAUUGCAGUUGAUACUGGAUAUCUUGAGUGCAGUUGAGGCAGGCGGAAUUCGUGGUGUAGCGGUGAAAUGCUUAGAUAUCACGAAGAACUCCGAUUGCGAAGGCAGCCUGCUAAGCUGCAACUGA